ACGGAGGAUGCGAGCGUUAUCCGGAUUUAUUGGGUUUAAAGGGUGCGUAGGCGGAUAGAUAAGUCAGUGGUGAAAACCUGCAGCUUAACUGUAGACUUGCCGUUGAUACUGUCAGUCUUGAGUAUGGUCAAGGUAGGCGGAAUGUGUAAUGAAGCGGUGAACUGCGUAGAUAUUGCAGAUAACACCCGUUACGAUGGCAGCUUGCUAGGACAUUACUGACUCGGAUGCACGUGAGCGUGGUGAUCGAUCAG
rnacentral:rRNA from 1 species